AAGGACAGGGAAGUCUGGUGUGCUGCGCUGUAGUCCAUGGGGUCACAAACAGUGGGACACAUCCUAGAGACUGAACCACAGCAAUCUACCAAGGAAAAAAUAAAAUUGGGAUCACCAUAUUUUGCUGAGUGAAAGAGAAAAUAAACUGCAGACAUCCAGAUGGACUUUUGCCUUGCCAGUGAGGGACACAACCAUGGAGUCAAGUCUUACCUGGUAUUGGCUAAGAGCACCAACUCAGGUCUCUCAAUUCAGAAAACUUAAGCAGAAAAUAUCUUCUGUCUGGUUUGUCACACCCUACUCACUUUCCUACUUACUAGGAUUCCAUGCAUCUCUGCUCCAUACUAUUCUGAAUUUGUUUCACAUUCUAACAGUAUGCUGGGCCAUAAUUCUUAAAUAAUAUUUAAAUAAUACUUGAUUAUAUCCCAUAUAUGACAGCUAUGCUGAUUCUGUGGUUAUAUCACUAAAAUCAUAGUAAUGAUAGUUACAAAGAAUUCAUAUUAGGAAAAUGUACUUUCUCAAAUGGUUUAGAGAAGUAUUAAUCUAAUUGUAUGUGAGAUUUAGUUUAGAGACUUAUGUAGAGUCACUGUUUUAUCCAGCCUAGGGAAUGAGUUCCCUGAGAUGGAGCAUCAUCUGAAUAAGAGCUGAAUGAAAUUAACAGCACUUAUUCCCCCAAACAAUUGUGCUCCAUGUCUUUAUACGUCAGUCAUAUCCUCUUUUCUUCACAUCCUCUGAAGCAAUCAGAGGCCUGCACCACAAUUUUUCUGUCAACUCUUGACAUUUUUGUCACUAGUCUCCAUUGAUGCUUAUAAUGUCCUUUGUAAAGAAAAACUUUCCACUAAUAUCUUAAUGAUGGCUGAUUGCCAUCGUCUGUUUAUUCGGUUAUCUUAAACGUGUUUCUCUGCCUGCCACAUCUGUAAAACGUUAGAUUUUCAUAUCCUAUAUGAUUUGCCUACCUUUGAUUAGCCAGAAAUGAUAGGUCAAAACCUGUCAUAAUAACCCAAAUUACUGGCCCACAACACUCAGGACAGCAAUUACAAAAAUGUGGCAGUCAUAACUAACAGUCCUCUAAUCAUUUUAUUCUUUUUUCUACAAUAAUAAAAAUGUUGGCUGAAUCUGUCUUUAUUCAUCAAAGACUAAAUUUCUUAGAGUCUCUUUCAGCUAGGAAUGGCCAUUUGACUAGGCUUUCUUAAAAAAUGGGAUGUGAGAGGAAGCAACUUCUAGUCAUUCUCUUAAAUAGAGGUGCCCAUGGCCACACCCUUUCUGUUCCCCUUGUCCAUGUUAGCUGGAGUUAUGGCAGGGGUCAGAGGAGUCACCGGAGAGUACAUGAUGGAAGACAUCUAUUUAGAGUGACUCAUUGGAAAAGGCUCUGAUGCUGGGAGUGAUUGGGGGCAGGAGGANNNNNNNNNNNNNNNNNNNNNNNNNNCUGGAUGGCAUCACAGACUCAAUGGACGUGAGUUUGAGUGAACUCCGGGAUAUGGUGAUGGACAGGGAGGCUUGGCGUGCUGCAAUUCAUGGGCUCACAAAGAGUCCGACACGACUGAGCGACUGAACUGAACUGAGCAACAACAUGGAAGGAACAUGGGUCUCUACCAAUCACCUGGAUGCUUACAGUCAGCCUAGAUGCCUAAGUGAGAUUUUAAAAAAUAUGUUAUACUUUACC
rnacentral:lncRNA from 1 species